rnacentral:rRNA from 1 species
GACGUAGGGCGCGAGCGUUGUCCGGAUUUAUUGGGCGUAAAGAGCUCGUAGGCGGCUUGUCGCGUCGGCUGUGAAAACCCGCGGCUCAACUGUGGGCGGGCAGCUGAUACGGCAGGCUGGAGUUCGGUGAGGGGAGACUGGAAUUCCUGGUGUAGCGGUGAAAUGCGCAGAUAUCAGGAGGAACACCGGUGGCGAAGGCGGGUCUCUGGGCCGAUACUGACGCUGAGGAGCGAAAGCAUGGGGAGCGAACAGG